UAACCGGCGAUUUCCGAAUGGGGAAACCCAGUGUGAUUCGUCACACUAUCAUUAACUGAAUCCAUAGGUUAAUGAGGCGAACCGGGGGAACUGAAACAUCUAAGUACCCCGAGGAAAAGAAAUCAACCGAGAUUCCCCCAGUAGCGGCGAGCGAACGGGGAGCAGCCCAGAGCCUGAAUCAGUGUGUGUGUUAGUGGAAGCGUCUGGAAAGGCGCGCGAUACAGGGUGACAGCCCCGUACACAAAAAUGCACAUGCUGUGAGCUCGAUGAGUAGGGCGGGACACGUGGUAUCCUGUCUGAAUAUGGGGGGACCAUCCUCCAAGGCUAAAUACUCCUGACUGACCGAUAGUGAACCAGUACCGUGAGGGAAAGGCGAAAAGAACCCCGGCGAGGGGAGUGAAAAAGAACCUGAAACCGUGUACGUACAAGCAGUGGGAGCCUCUUUAUGGGGUGACUGCGUACCUUUUGUAUAAUGGGUCAGCGACUUAUAUUCUGUAGCAAGGUUAACCGAAUAGGGGAGCCGAAGGGAAACCGAGUCUUAACUGGGCGUUAAGUUG
rnacentral:rRNA from 1 species